rnacentral:ribozyme from 1 species
UGCCCAGCAACUGCUAUCCCUACCUCCUCGCGGUACCGGCCGGUACGGUACGAGUAACCUUAGGGAUGAUCGGGUAAC